UAAGGAUGCAGCUGGAGGAGCCUGACUUACGGGCAAAGCUGGGAAGAGAUGUCUGGUGGUGAGGUGAUGUCUGGUGAUGAGGUGAUGUCUGGUGGUGAGGUGAUGUCUGGUGAUGAGGUGAUGUCUGGUGGUGAGGUGAUGUCUGGUGGUGAGGUGAUGUCUGGUGAUGAGGUGAUGUCUGGUGGUGAGGUGAUGUCUGGUGGUGAGGUGAUGUCUGGUGAUGAGGUGAUGUCUGGUGAUAAGGAGAUGUCUGGUGGUGAGG